rnacentral:rRNA from 1 species
ACUCCUACGGGAGGCAGCAGUGGGGAAUAUUGCACAAUGGGCGCAAGCCUGAUGCAGCCAUGCCGCGUGUGUGAAGAAGGCCUUCGGGUUGUAAAGCACUUUCAGCGAGGAGGAAAGGGUGUAAGUUAAUACCUUACAUCUGUGACUGUUACUCGCAGAAGAAGCACCGGCUAACUCCGUGCCAGCAGCCGCGGUAAUACGGAGGGUGCGAGCGUUAAUCGGAAUUACUGGGCGUAAAGCGCAUGCAGGUGGUUUGUUAAGUCAGAUGUGAAAGCCCGGGGCUCAACCUCGGAAUUGCAUUUGAAACUGGCAGACUAGAGUACUGUAGAGGGGGGUGAGAAUUUCAGGUGUAGCGGUGAAAUGCGUAGAGAUCUGAAGGAAUACCGGUGGCGAAGGCGGCCCCUGGACAGAUACUGACACUCAGAUGCGAAAGCGUGGGAGCAAACAGGAUUAGAUACCCUGGUAGGUGA